rnacentral:rRNA from 1 species
UACGGAGGGUGCGAGCGUUAAUCGGAAUCACUGGGCGUAAAGCGCACGUAGGCGGCGCAUCAAGUCAGACGUGAAAGCCCUCGGCUCAACCGAGGAAUUGCGUUUGAAACUGGUGUGCUGGAGUCUCGGAGAGGUUGGCGGAAUUCCAGGUGUAGGAGUGAAAUCCGUAGAUAUCUGGAGGAACACCGGUGGCGAAGGCGGCCAACUGGACGAGUACUGACGCUGAGGUG